rnacentral:lncRNA from 1 species
UUUUUUUUUUUUUUUUUUUUUUUUUUGGCAUUGAAAGUCCCCAGGCCAGAGAUCAAACCUAAGCCAUAGUAGCAACUUGAGCCACUGCAGUGAACAGUGGAUACUUAACUUGCUUUGCCACAAAGGAACUCCCAAAAUGUGUUAAUUUAGAUGCCUGCCCCUCUGGCUGAUGCUUUUAGAUGAGCACAAGAUCCUCUUUCGUGUAACAUCUGGGCAAGAUCAGGUGCUUCCCUGGGGCAAGUGUAUCCAAGUGUAGGAACCCUUGAAAAGUCAUUUUUCAGAUUGCUAUAGCCUUGUGGGGGUCAUGGUCAUGAGUUCCACUGGUUUUCCAAGCUAUAUAUUUUGGGGGCUCAUAUCUCAGGUGUAGUUCUUAAAAGUUGAGGUGCCCAACGUGGGGCUCAAACUCUUCAGAAGAAUCUCCUGAUGGAGUCACUACAGGGUGGGUGGCAGUUGUGGCAAGAUUGUGUCUCAGCUUCUCUUACCCACUUUAAUGUGGAUUUUUUCUGGUUCACUUGAUGUGUAUUGUUGCUUUGCUAGUUUUUAGGUUUUUCUCAGAGAAAAGUGUCCUAUAUGUGCUGUGGGAGGAGGCGGGGUUCAGGAUCUUGCUGUGUCACCAUCUUGAACUAGCAGCAUCAAUAUUUUUAUUUCCCACCUAACUUGCUAAAUUCUCUUACUGAUUUUAAUAGUUUGUCUAUAACUUCUUUUUCAUUAUCUAUCGAGACAGCUUUUUUCUAUAAAUAAUAUUCUUUCUCAUUUCACAAUCAUAACUUUUCCUCCCAUCUUUUCUUGUUUUAUCAGUGCCUCUUUGAUCAGAUCUUUAUUCAAAUUGAGCUGUCCAAAAUGAUUCUAUUUUUAUGGGAUAAAAGCAUUUAAGUUGAUGUAGCAGGCCUCUUUUCUCCUGUGGUAGAUUUCUUUUCUGCUGGCUUCUUUUCAGCUACUGGUUUCUUGGUAACUGCAGCCUUUUUCUCUCCACAAAGGUUUUGAUGCCAAUAGCCUUCUUUUCUUCUCCUCUGUUACUGGCUUCUUGCCUAGAUCCCACUUCUCAUCCCAAUUGGCCUCUAAUGUUCCCUUAUCCACCUGGAGUUUGUGAUUCUUGGCCUGGUGAAGGAUGAUGUUCCAGUGUGUGCCUUUUGUAUAUGAGUUUAGCUUCAACACGAUUCUUAGGUUUUUCAGUGGAUUCUUCUGUGGGAGUCUGUGAUUAAUCUUCUUGUGUGGUUCUUGGAGGAAUCUUUGGAUCUUUGGGCUUUUCAAGGUUUUGCUAAAGUCUGUAUUGGGCAACUUGUACAGUCACUCUUGAGGGAGGCAGCUUUACACCAAGUGUCAUACACAUUAUCUAACUUGUGGAAAGCACUUGAAGUCCAAAUGCAGAAAUAUGUCCACCAGGAGCAGUUUCAAAAUGUUCAGUUGUGCUUCUAUCAAGCAUAGUUAUUGUAGGAAUGUUUCUGAAGGUCUUGAUGAUACGGGGCCCCCUGUGCUGGAUACAGUGACAGCUUCUCAUUUUGCUUUGACAGCUAUCAUUUGCUGAGAGGUAUAGGUGUUUUUUGUAACACCCUAAGUUUCUUAAGCUAGAUAGUCUCCUUGGUCUUCUGAUAGCCUUUAACUUUAUCUUCAUUCACCAAUGGGAGUUCAGAAACUUCCUCAAUAUGAUGACCUUUAGACAGGACUAGUUCUGGCAAGGCUGAGACAGGGCACAGAAAAUAGCACAUCACUUCUGUGUUGUGUUCACUUUGUGGUUGUCAGUGCCACAAAGGUUUUAAUGUAUGCAAACAUGCAGCCCCACAAAACAUAUUUCCAAAAGCACCCUCCACAUAGUCAUGAGCUAAAUACUCAAUACCUUUUAAAUAACACUAUAUGUCACUUUAAAACUUUGUGUCAUCCCUUGUGUUUUCUUUCUAAAACAAACACACUUAUCAGAAAUCUCUUCAAAGAAAGGAUUGGGCUUACUGGGUGCUGGUUGUGGAGAGGAACAAGCAAGAUCAUGUUACUCUAAAGGAGAGUGAAUUUGCUGACCUUGCCAACCCAGAAUUAUUAUUAUUUUAUUUUUGGCCGCCCACAGCAUGUGGAAAUUCCUGGGCCGGGAAUCAAAUGCACUCCACUGUAGUGACUGAGCCACAGCAAUGACAAUGCCAGAUCCUUAACCACUAGGCCAUCAAGGAACUCCCUAACCCAGAAUUCCUGAUGACUCUCUGAGGGACAAGUACCAACACUAGAACCAAAACAAACAAUAAGUGUAAAUCCCCUCAAAAUUUGGGAACUGGACCAAUGACCAGAUGAAAAAUAAGUUGGCUGCUAAUGUGUAUGUUUUGGAAUGACUGCCUGAGGCCCACAGGAGUUUUUUUUCUUCCUUCCUUCCUUCCUUCCUUCCCUCCCUCCCUCCCUCUCUCUCUCUCUCUCUCUCUCUCUCUCUCUCUCUCUCUCUCUUUCUCUCUGACAAUCCCACAGCAUAUGGAGUUGCCAGGCCAGGGAUCAGAUCUGAGCUGCAAGUACAGCAAAACCACAUCCUUAACCCACUGUGCUGGGUAGGAAUCAAACCUGAGUCCUGCAGUCCCAAGAGGCCACCAUCCUGCUAUGCCACAGUAGGAACUCCCUGCAGGAGUUUGGAGGCAGUGUCUUAAUGGAUAUUCAUUGUUUACUAUGUGUAUGGUCUGGCAGGAAAGUAAAUCAGCAGUUGGUACCCACUGCCUUUUGUCUCUUGAUCUGGAAGCCCAUGGUUUACUAGGAGGAAGAAUGGUGACAGAGUCUGAUGAUAAUUUUCAGCUCAUCCCAAAAAGCUAACUCUUUAUGGUAAUAUAAACCCAUCAACCAUGGUCUGAGCAUAGCUGUGAAGAAAAUGUCAGGUUAAGUACUUAUCUUAGUGACACAUUAUUUAAUGGAAACCACAUUUCUGUUAUAUUGAGUCAUCCACACUUAUUUUUAAAACAUGAAUUUCUCUUAUUUUGUAAAGAUACUAUUGGAAUAGGUCAGUUUUCAGCAUCUAGUAACACACCAUUCUGCUCUAUCGCUCUUGAAUUUGAUAUUAGUGAAUAUUUUCCUUAAAAAGCUCAUAAUAACACAUUCUUUGCUCCCCAGCCCCCAGGGAACAGGAUGUUUUAAUUAACAUAUACAUUAUAGAAAUAUCUGCUCAUCUUAGCUUUCUGCAUGAAAGGGAUUGAAAUUUGUUCCACCAAAGAAGCAAAAUCAACACACUCAAAGGCUGGGUGCGAGUAUAUUAGCAUUUCAGAGGCUCAAGUGUCAUAACUGGUUUAACUAAACAAAGCCAUAAUGUACAUUUCAGAAAAUUGCCAGGAAGGAAAAUCAAUUCUGUAUCUGAAUUGAAUUCAGAUAAAUCCAGCACCAUGUAUCUGCACUCUGCAUAGGCCUGAUAGGACAUCUGCAAAUAAUUUGCAAUCAAAAUCUUAACUUGUUUGAAAAGAGGCAUAAGUUCGCCAUUUUUCUUAAACUGAAAUUAUUGUCCUAACAGAUUUAUGGAAAUAUUUUGCAUCCUUAAAAGUGGUUGAUGUUGACAUGCUAUUUAUCAAUUUCUACCCCUUUGAAAAAUUUUAAUCUUUAAUUAUAAAUUUACACAUUUUGUUUGGGAGGUGGACUAAAUGAAUUGGUAGUGAUGUCUAAUGCCUAGGGUCAGAUGAACCAAUGGAAGGAAAGAAAGCACACCAACUAUCAAGUCAUGUGUACAUUUAGUGUUUCUGUAAAAUGUAGGAGAUUGAUCUUUUAAGGGAAAUGUAGGAAGCAAAGGAAUUGGGUAUUACUAUUUAGUACUUAAAGUUAUUUUUCAUUUUUUUCAGAAUCUUUGGAUGAGGCAAGUUACUGGAGCAAUGUCAUAAUAUUAGAAAGAUACAGUGUAGGUGAAAAGCUGACAAAUUUGAGAUCUUAAAGUUGUUCUGUUUAAAGAAUAAAAUCAAAAUAAAGUUUUCAGUUAAAAAAUUAAAUUAUAGGACUAAUUAUUUUUAAUUCAUCUGUUUAGUGCUGUGUCUUCCUUAGAAAACAUUUUCUCUUAUUCAUUUAAAAUAUAAAAUUAAUUUCUUUUAGCAAGUACUAACACUAGAAGCACUUUUUCCACAUUGUCAAAUUAUGAAGCCCAUCAGGGCUGCAGCAUCACAAAACUCCAGUUAGAAUUGUCCACAUAGAAAACAUUAAGAAUGACAGCUCUGCUGUGCAACUGCUUAUGAAUGAGCUCCCUGGUGCUGGGCAGUUCCCUGCAGUGUCCAUGAGGGUUGUGAAUGUUUAUCUUUUGUAUACAAAGAGGGGGGCUUGAAAUUCUUCCCUAGUUUUCCAUACUCUUUCUCUCACUGUUGACAACUUACUGCCUGAGUAUCUUCUCUAUUCCCCUGGAAGUGAUUAGCCUCAUCGGCUUGUCCUGUCAUUGUGUCCAAGGGAUGUUACAGUACAGAACCCUUAAGAGGCACUAGCCCCCUUUUCUGUUAAAAGACUGGGAAGAAUUAAUCAGGAUUCUUCAGUGAUCCUGCGUGAAGCACAGUCCAUGUUCUUGCUUGACAUCACAAAAAAUCUAUAUGAAGCCAUUCUUAGCAUUGGUUAGGCUAGGAGAUUAUACAUUAUUGCCUGUCUUGUUGGUUAAAAGAUGUAUUGCCUAGGUACUUACAGGCCUAUUCUAGUGGAUUCUUUACAACUUAUUGAUGGAAUGUUUCAAAGUACCUAACCUCUUCUGGAAAACGAAGAUAAUUCUUUUUUGCCUAAUGUAGUGACUCUACAAUGUAUAAAUAUAUUAAAUCUGGUCUCAGAUCCUCUCUAGUUGGUCUUAAAUUUGGAUUCCCUGAAAAAAAAUUAUACAUACCUAUCUAUAUGUAUGUGUGUAUAUAUAUACAUACAUGUAUAUACAUGUACACACAUCUGUAUAUAUAUUCUCAGACAAUUUUAGUUAUGAACAAGACUUUCAUAAUUUGCUCUUGAUGGCAGUGACUAUGGAUUCUUUCAAUUUAUGUUGUAACAAUUAGUUGUCAAAUAUUUCUAUUUUUUUCCAAUUUCUCUGUGAUUGUUUGCCAUCUCAUAUCUGUGUUUCAACUUUGUGUUUCCUGGUAGCUUUUUUUUUGUCAUAUAUAAGUAUGAUUAUGUUAACUAAAUGUUAAUGAGAGAUGUUUUGGCAAAGGAUCUGAUAAUGGAAAACUUGGGAAACUGUAUAUUACUCCAUUUUAAGGACACCCUAUAUAAAAAUGUCUAUACUGAACACACUUACUAGGGGUGAGUGGUCACACACAAAAAAGUCCUUUGACUGCUCCCCUGUUCUUUUAAAUAUGUAGCAAAUCAAUAGUGUUUGAUAGAAAGAUAUUUGGGUGAUUUGAGAAAUAAAUUGAAGCUGUAUUUUUAGAACCCAAAACAACAACAACAAAAAAAUGAGUCUCAAGUGGUUAUUUAUCCUUGAAAUGAAAAACAAGCCCAUGGAAAAUAAACAUGGAAAGUUAAAAUCCUGAUGUACUGAUGGCUAUGCAUGGCCAUUCAGAAACAUAAUUCUGAUUGACUGUGUAUCAAAAUUUCUUUGAGAUUACAUUUACCAGAUUUAAAAUCUAUAAGGAAAACACAGCAAAAUAGCAUCUGUCAGCUAUGAUGUUAGCUACUAAAAGCAGUUCAUAUUUCAACAUUAGCUUGCACUACAUUUCUUUCAAUGAUGUCAUAUCUUUAAUAAGCUGGGUUUUCCUUGAUUGUCAUGACAAAAAUAAAUGGUGAACAAAACUGAUAUGGAAUAAGAAAUGAGGGUUGCAGCGUCCCAUCUGAUGCCAUGAUCUGAUAUGAAAUUUUUCUAGGAGCACAAAUCCAUUUAGUGUAUAAUUGUAGUUAUUUAAACAUGAAAAAUACUAUAUUUUCUUUUAAUUUAUGUACAUUGUUCAUUCAAAAGAUUACUAUAUUGUUAAGAUGUAAAUGAUUAAGUUUUUGAACCUAACUACUUCAUAAACAGAAUGAUUAGGUAUUGCUUUUGACCUAUCAAAUACCAUGGAAAUGUUACUGUGUGCCGAGGUUCCUGUAAACCAAGCAAGUCUAGGAACCUCUGACUUAUACCAUUUUGUUGACCUUGUUGAACUCUUUGAAUCUGUGAUUUUCCUUUGAAAAUAAUCUACAGAGGCCAAGUGACACUCUAGGAUGGAUUUUUGAGCUGCGUAUGUUUCUAGACUAUGGCUAAAUAUUCCUCAAAUCCCCGGUGUCUUAACUCCCAAUGAAUUGAGGCAGAGUUUUCUUAAUGAGGUAGUUAAAUAGCACAUUCUACUUUCCACAGCUCCCACUUCUGGCUUGAGAUUGAUAAGGAUGCUCCAUAGUAGACAUAGGAUAUAAGUUCUUUACUAGGGAGACUCCUUGUAAGUUGUUUCUGAGAAGCCCAAAUCUAAGGAGGUGUAAAUGGAAAGGCAUUUCACACUGCCUGAUGAAGGAAUUGUCACAUCUCAUUUUGGGCUGAUUCAUUCUAGGACCAACCCAAGAAUGUGAAAAUUACUCUCACCUUGGUCCUCAUUCCAAAGAAUGUGAAAAUUAUCUUAAAUCUCUGGGGCAGCAAUACUGAGUCAAUUAGCGGUCACUUUUCCUCUACCUCAACAAAAAGUCUUUCACUCUUCAAUGUAGAGCUGAAAUUGCAUUUUCUUCCCAAGCCUCUCCU